UUUUCAUUUUAGCCAUGGCGUUGUCAGUUUGUUUUAGAUUUAUGAGUUUGACUGUCCCUUUGGUAUCUUUCGUCCCUCUUUUAUUUAGAAUUUUUUUUAACUGUUGAUAUUUAACAUUGUAUUUACAGAAAAAUGUAAAUUUUCAAUGUGUUUGGCUGUUAUAUUUUUCCCCUGUUAUAUAAAUCCUUGGACUAUAACGUGUUCCAUUUUAAAAUAAAUUGUAAAUCAUGAUGCAAAUUUCAU
rnacentral:lncRNA from 1 species